UUACUAUCUCAAAUCUCUGUAGAACCACCGAGCCCCGCCGCCAAUUGUACAACAGACGGUGCCGCCGGUAAGCGCCUUACGAUAUUGUAAACUCUAUCUCUCACACGAGACACAAGGAAACGAACUACUGGAUGGGUAGAAGCUUCUAGGUUUCGUUUGUUAUUUCCCUCCUUUUUAAUCAUAUUUUUCCAUUUCUAGGGUUUCAUAAUUGAUUCAAAUUGGUAAAGUUGAGGUACUUGAUUCGAUUAUGCAUUGAUUUUUAUCGUAUUUGUUCGAUCUGUGUAUUAUUGUUUUCCGAUCUGUUCCUGUUGACCUAGAAUUACGUAUAGUUCCGUGUUCGUUUCAAAAAAGUAAAAAGCUUGGGGAUAUUUAAGUUUCUAGUGUUAGGGUUUAGAGGGGUGAAUUUUGGUUUUAUUUUGCAUAUGAACAAGUAUAUGGCGGCAGGAAGACAUGGAGGGUACCGUGAUAAUGAAUUUAGGGAGCGUGAAUCUGAUUUAGAUGUGUCUAAGAGGGAAUUUUCUUAUUCUAAAGGGGAAUAUGACCGUGUAAGAAAUGGUGGUAACGGGGCUUAUGAGAGGGGUAAGAAUCGGGCCCGUGAUAGCAGAGGCGGGGGUAGGCUUAGGCAGAAGGACAUUAAAGAAAGGGAGUUGGUGAACGGUGGGGGUUAUCGUUCUGCUUCUAGCAGGAGUUAUUCAGGAGGAAGUGGUGAAGGUGGAGAUUCAAGGCACGGUGAUUAUCACCUCAGAGUGGGAGAUCGAGAACCUGGGGAGCUGUCUAGUGAGAGUGGGUCUGAUGAAGCUGUUGAUUCAGAAAUACAUGGUAAGAGCAAUGAGGGUUCUAAGAUGGAUAACAGUUCCCAGUCUUCUUUAUAUAGCAAGAAGAGGAAGUUCUCACCUAUUGUUUGGGAUAGAGAUGACAAGGAAGCUGGUAAUUCAUCUAUGACUAGAUCUUCCCCAGCAAAUACUACUCUACCUCCUCCACCUCCAGUGCCUAAAUCUCACCGUCGAUCACCUAACUUUGUUCCUGCAGCUGUUGUACAAAAUUUCCCUGUAGAAAGCAACAAGCUUCAUAGUGCACAUCAGUCUCCAGGUAAUACUCCAAUUGAUAUUGGGAAGCAUGAUUCUUCUGGAUUUGAAACCCAUGUUGGUCUAUCUUCUUCCCCUGUCCAGGAAGAACAUGUAGGCUUAUCUUCUUCUCCUGCCCAGGAAGAGCAUGCUGUGUACAUUCAGGAUGUAGUACAACCAGAAGACGUCGAUUAUCUGCCCACACGGACUAUAAGAUCCUCUCGGUGGGCAAAUGAUGCCAAUUCUCCAGCUGAUGAAGGUGAACUUUCUGAUGCCUCAGGUGAUAACAGGAUCCAGCAGAGGACUGGGUCGGUUGAGAUUAGAUUACAGAAGCAGUCAUCCAGUCCAGAGGUUGAGGAGCAUCAUCAAGAAGGUACUGAAGUAAUUAGAGGACGAUCAUCUGAUUCCAAUGAAGGUGGUUACCGUGUUAGGUCUUCAAGUGUGGAGGAUUUUCCUGACAAUGAUUUAGGAAGGAAGGACUACAUGGAGAUCGACAAUGAACACAAAAAAGAUGGUGCUAGUCUAAGCCUAUCAGAAUCUGAUUCAGAGAAUGGAGAUGGCUCUCCAGGUACACCAGAGCCUGCUGGCCCUCCUCAAAGAUGUUUUAAUAUGCUGCAAGGUUGUAGAAGUGUUGACGAGUUUGAGAGAUUGAACAAGAUAGAUGAAGGCACUUAUGGUGUUGUUUAUAGGGCCAAAGAUAAAAAAACAGGAGAAAUUGUUGCUUUAAAAAAGGUCAAGAUGGAGAAAGAAAGAGAAGGAUUUCCUUUGACUUCUCUAAGGGAAAUAAAUAUUCUUCUUUCGUUUCAUCACCCAUCCAUUGUGGAUGUGAAGGAAGUGGUAGUUGGGAGCAAUCUUGACAGCAUUUUUAUGGUAAUGGAAUACAUGGAACAUGAUCUUAAGGCAUUGAUGGAGACGAUGAAACAACCUUUCAGUCAGAGUGAAGUUAAAUGUCUUAUGCUCCAGCUAUUGGAGGGAACAAAAUACCUCCAUGACAAUUGGGUUCUUCACCGAGAUUUGAAAACUUCAAAUUUGCUUUUGAAUAAUCGUGGUGAGUUGAAGAUUUGUGAUUUUGGAUUGGCUCGUCAAUAUGGGAGUCCUCUAAAACCAUACACUCAUUUGGUGGUGACUCUUUGGUACAGGGCACCGGAACUUCUGCUGGGAGCAAAAGAAUAUUCUACUGCAAUUGAUAUGUGGUCGUUGGGUUGUAUCAUGGCUGAACUGUUAUCUAAGCAACCACUGUUCAAUGGGAAAACAGAGUUUGAUCAGCUUGACAAGAUAUUUAAAACCCUUGGCACUCCAAAUGAGACUAUUUGGCCUGGGUACUCUAAACUUCCAGGAGUCAAGGUGAACUUCGUCAAGCAUCAGUAUAAUUUAUUGCGGAGAAAAUUCCCGGCGACAUCUUUCACUGGAUCACCUGUUUUGUCUGAUGCUGGGUUUGAUUUGCUGAACAAACUUAUAACCUAUGACCCUAAGAAGCGUAUAACUGCUGAAGAAGCUCUCAACCAUGAGUGGUUCCGUGAAGUGCCUCUUCCGAAGUCUAAAGAUUUUAUGCCCACAUUCCCUGCUCAGCAUGCCCAGGACAGGCGUACACGGAGGGUAAUGAAAAGUCCUGAUCCUUUAGAGGAGCAGCGUCGAAAGGAGCUGCAGCAAGCUGAAUUUGGGACAGGUGGUUUAUUUGGCUAGGAUGAUGGGUGUGGCAGAACUUUGUUAUCUCUGAUUUUGUUUUUAUGCUGUACCCACAAAGUGACAUUGUCGAGGUGAGGGCCCAUGUACUGAUGGAAAUGGUAACAUUGGUUUUGAGAUGAUCAUCCAUGCUGUUUUUUAGCAGGCACCCUUUAUCAUCUGGGUGGGGAGAUGAGAUGUCUUCUGCUUGCUCUCAACUCUAUGCAUAACAGGUUGACUUCUUUGUACAAGAGGUGGUUGGUGUAGCAUGGAGGUGGAGUUCUUAGCUUUUCAUUGACGGAGUAUUUUUUCAGAAAAUGUGCAAUUUCAAGUAUGAAAGCAAGCAGGUUGUGGAGGUCACCCUAUGCAGUUUGGAACUUUUAAAUUUUUCGUGUAUUUUCCGUUCUUCAGGCAGGAUUCUUAUAUAAAAGAAACCGAGGCAGGCAUGUGGUUUUAACCAUUUUGUAUUUGAAUCUAUUAUAUAUAGCCUUGCGAAGCCUGCCAUUAAUCUUUUCAAUUAUGCCAAGCGUUUCUGCCAUUGCACUUUUGCCGACUCAUCAAGCAUGACGCUUUACUUUCCCCUGGUUGUGGUGGGUUCGAGUACCUUUUCUCCUUCGCUGAGCUCCAGGUUUUGGUACCCGUCUCUCUAGUUUGAUUUUUAUUGUGUUUUUGCUCUCUUGCUAUCCCUUACCCACCGUUAUCAAUGUACUGUUUCUCGGUUAGUGCUCCUUAUUGGUCGAUAGCAACGCAUUCUGGGAAAAAAAGCAUUGGUUUUGGAUCUACUCAUACAUGUGUAGCCAUUUUGAUUUUUGUGAUCUUUGGCUAUUAUCAUGGGUCAGGAUGAAAACAGAGAUCUGGUUUUGCCGAACCCUUAAAGAACCACACGGUUCAUCAAACUUUGUGCAGUUUCCUUGUUUGUUCAUCGUCUAUUUCAUUCGAUCGUAUUUGUUUUUUAUGGACAGAAAUAUCGUUGGUUGCGUCACAAAAUAUGUAAUUGACAUCCAAAUAUGAAUGCUGUGUCUGUAUUCUACAAGAUUGAGUUGGUUCAUGUUUUGAUAUUAUACAGGUUGUUAGGAAAUGGUAGGAUCGAUGGCUGAUUCUUACUUUAAGUAUAUAUUAUAGCAAUCGCGCUUGAAGUAUAACUGAAAGGAGUGAAACAAAGUGUCGCUUAAGGAAACAUGGGUAUUGAAAAUCUUAAAAAUCCGU